rnacentral:rRNA from 1 species
AACAAGGUCUCCGUUGGUGAACCAGCGGAGGGAUCAUUAUCGAGUUAUUCAACUCCCAAACCCUAUGUGAACUUACCACUUGUUGCUUCGGCGCGCGCUUCGGCGCCGCCGAGGACACUUAAACUCUUUGUUUUUAUAAGCAUUUCUGAGUGGCCGAAAGGCAAAAAUACAAAUGAAUCAAAACUUUCAACAACGGAUCUCUUGGUUCUGGCAUCGAUGAAGAACGCAGCGAAAUGCGAUAAGUAAUGUGAAUUGCAGAAUUCAGUGAAUCAUCGAAUCUUUGAACGCACAUUGCGCCCGCCAGCAUUCUGGCGGGCAUGCCUGUUCGAGCGUCAUUUCAACCCUCGAGCCCGACUCUUUUGAGGACGGCUCGGCGUUGGGGGACGGCAGACUCCCCCCGGCAUCUCGCCGGGGACGCCGCCCCCGAAAUCUAGUGGCGGCCCUCCGAGGCGACCUCUGCGUAGUAACUUGUUCUCGCACCGGAAAGCUCAGAGCGGCCACGCCGUAAAACCCCAACUUUUUUCAGGUUGACCUCGAAUCAGGUAGGACUACCCGCUGAACUUAAGCAUAUCAAUA